rnacentral:rRNA from 1 species
UACGUAGGGAGCAAGCGUUGUCCGGAAUCAUUGGGCGUAAAGCGCGCGUAGGCGGCCCUGUAAGUCCGUUGUGAAAGUCAAAGGCUCAACCUUUGAAAGCCGAUGGAUACUGCAGGGCUAGAGUCCGGAAGAGGCGAGUGGAAUUCCUGGUGUAGCGGUGAAAUGCGUAGAUAUCAGGAGGAACACCUGCGGUGUAGACGGCUUUCUGGACCAUUGCUGACGCUGAGACACGAAAGCGUGGGUAGCAAACAGG